GACGAACGCUGGCGGCGUGCUUAACACAUGCAAGUCGAACGGAAAGGCCUGCUUUCCCUUGUGGGUUGCGGGUACUCGAGUGGCGAACGGGUGAGUAACACGUGAGUGAUCUGCCCCCAACUUGGGUAUAAGCCGGGGAUACUGGGUCUAAUUCCCGAUAGGACUGCAGGGUGCUGCCUGUGUUGGAAGACGAUUUUCUCGUGUGUGGGGAUGAGCUGGCGGCCUAUCAGCUUGUUGGUGGGGUAAUGGCCUACCAAGGCGACGACGGGUAGCCGGUCUGAGAGUGUGAGCGGGGACAGUGACAGUGAGACUGGGCUACGGCCCAGACGGGUGGGAGAAGUGGGGGAGAGGGGAAAUGGGGAACAAGCGUGAGCCAGCUGUGGCGAGGGGGUGAAGAAGACGUCGGGCUUGGGGUUGUAUACUCCUUGGGAACAAGAGGAAGGCGCUAAGAUGGAAGGGGGGUGACGGUAGUGGAAGAAGAAGCACCGGCUAACUACGUG
rnacentral:rRNA from 1 species